rnacentral:tRNA from 2 species
GCCGAUGUAGCUCAGUCGGUAGAGCGCAUCCUUGGUAAGGAUGAGGUCACCAGUUCAAUCCUGGUCAUCGGCUCCA